CCUACGGGUGGCAGCAGUCGAGAAUCAUUCACAAUGGGGGAAACCCUGAUGGUGCGACGCCGCGUGGGGGAAUGAAGGUCUUCGGAUUGUAAACCCCUGUCAUGUGGGAGCAAAUUAAAAAGAUAGUACCACAAGAGGAAGAGACGGCUAACUCUGUGCCAGCAGCCGCGGUAAUACAGAGGUCUCAAGCGUUGUUCGGAAUCACGGGGCGUAAAGCGUGCGUAGGCUGUUUCGUAAGUCGUGUGUGAAAGGCGCGGGCUCAACCCGCGGACGGCCCAUGAUACUGCGAGACUAGAGUAAGGGAGGGGAAAGCGGAAUUCUCGGUGUAGCAGUGAAAUGCGUAGAUAUCGAGAGGAACACUCGUGGCGAAGGCGGGUUCCUGGACAUUAACUGACGCUGAGGCACGAAGGCCAGGGGAGCGAAAGGGAUUAGAUACCCCGGUAGUC
rnacentral:rRNA from 1 species